ACAUCAUGGAAGGUGACAUCUCCUCCGUUGUGCAGACGCUCCAUCUCAUAACACAUGUGUUUGAAGAGAAGCUUAUCUUUGUCCAGGUCAACUUCCAGACGACCUCUCAGCAGACGGAGCAGAAACUUCACCCGAGAGACAGACUGAAUGCCCCAGACGGCACAGACGACGUGGGAUGGCUACUGAUGUGCAGUCUGUCUGCUUAGCUGGAGGAGGAGGGGUGGUCAAGGUGACCCACUAACAGUUAUAAUGAUACGGAGACGCCAUUAUCUGCUCCGACUGCCGGGCUGGCUGGAUGACAAACAUGGAGUCGAAAUCAUGGAAAUGGAGGAUCGAAAUCAAAACAUAUCAACCCUGCAUAGGAAUGAGUGUGUUUUGCCCAAAGCUGCCAGAGAACAAAGCAAAGCUCUAUUACUACUCCCAUCACAUAUCUAUAAUAUGAAUAAAUAUCUGGUAACCUUUUA